rnacentral:rRNA from 1 species
AAGCACUUGCUACCAGACUUGGGUUUGGCGGCUCAACCGGGGCCACGCCCCGGGGCAUUCCGCCAGCUCAGGCCAGCAUCAGCUUUCCGUCGGGGGCAAAGACGUCGGGAAUGUGGCUCCCCUUCGGGGGAGUGUUAUAGCCCACCGUGUAAUACCCUGGGGGGGACUGAGGUUCGCGCAUCUGCAAGGAUGCUGGCGUAAUGGU